rnacentral:rRNA from 1 species
GGCCUUCUGGACUGACACUGACACUGAGGUGCGAAAGCGUGGGUAGCAAACAGGAUAAGAUACCCUGGUAGUCCACGCCGUAAACGAUGUCGACCAGCCGUUGGGUGCCUAGCGCACUUUGUGGCGAAGUUAACGCGAUAAGUCGACCGCCUGGGGAGUACGGCCGCAAGGUUAAAACUCAAAUGAAUUGACGGGGGCCCGCACAAGCGGUGGAGCAUGUGGUUUAAUUCGAUGCAACGCGAAGAACCUUACCUACUCUUGACAUCCUGCGAAUUUGGUAGAGAUACCUUAGUGCCUUCGGGAACGCAGAGACAGGUGCUGCAUGGCUGUCGUCAGCUCGUGCUGUGAAAUGUUGGGUUAAGUCCCGUAACGAGCGCAACCCUUGUCCUUAUUUGCCAGCGCGUAAUGGCGGGAACUCUAAGGAGACUGCCGGUGACAAACCGGAGGAAGGUGGGGACGACGUCAAGUCAUCAUGGCCCUUACGAGUAGGGCUACACACGUGCUACAAUGGUCGGUACAAAGGGUUGCCAACUCGCGAGAGUGAGCCAAUCCCGAAAAGCCGAUCUCAGUCCGGAUCGGAGUCUGCAACUCGACUCCGUGAAGUCGGAAUCGCUAGUAAUCGUGGAUCAGAAUGCCACGGUGAAUACGUUCCCGGGCCUUGUACACACCGCCCGUCACACCAUGGGAGUGGACUGCACCAGAAGUGGUUAGCCUAACGCAAGAGGGCGAUCACCACGGUGUGGUUCAUGACUGGGGGUGAAGUCGUAACAAGGUAACCA